AGGUGGUAUGAGUGUUGUUGGUAAUGCGGGCUAUAGCAAUAAUGCUAGUGGCGUUGGAGGUUCUAUUCCUGGGCUUCUCCCAACUUCUGCAGGAAUUGGUAAUCGAAGCUCUGUGCCAGGUCUUGGGGUAUCCCAAAUUUUAGGAAAUGCAGGCCCAAGGAUGACCAAUUCAGUGGGAAAUAUUGUUGGUGGGGGCAACAUUGGCAGAAGCAUUAGCUCUGGUGCAGGAUUGUCUGUGACUAAUCUUGCUUCACGGUUAAAUAUGAACGCCAAUGCCGGUUCUGGAAAUUUAAAUGUUCAA
rnacentral:misc_RNA from 1 species